AUUGAACGCUGGCGGCAGGCCUAACACAUGCAAGUCGAGCGGAUGAAGGGAGCUUGCUCCUGGAUUCAGCGGCGGACGGGUGAGUAAUGCCUAGGAAUCUGCCUGGUAGUGGGGGAUAACGUCCGGAAACGGGCGCUAAUACCGCAUACGUCCUGAGGGAGAAAGUGGGGGAUCUUCGGACCUCACGCUAUCAGAUGAGCCUAGGUCGGAUUAGCUAGUUGGUGGGGUAAAGGCCUACCAAGGCGACGAUCCGUAACUGGUCUGAGAGGAUGAUCAGUCACACUGGAACUGAGACACGGUCCAGACUCCUACGGGAGGCAGCAGUGGGGAAUAUUGGACAAUGGGCGAAAGCCUGAUGCAGCCAUGCCGCGUGUGUGAAGAAGGUCUUCGGAUUGUAAAGCACUGUAAGUUGGGAGGAAGGGCAGUAAGUUAAUACCUGGCUGUUUUGACGGUACCAACAGAAUAAGCACCGGCUAACUUCGUG
rnacentral:rRNA from 1 species